AGGACGAACGCUGGCGGCGUGCUUAACACAUGCAAGUCGAGCGGAAAGGCCCUUCGGGGUACUCGAGCGGCGAACGGGUGAGUAACACGUGAGCAACCUACCCUUGGCUUUGGGAUAACCCUCGGAAACGGGGGCUAAUACCGGAUAUUCAUCGCUGGGCGCAUGUUUGGUGGUGGAAAGUUUUUCGGCUGGGGAUGGGCUCGCGGCCUAUCAGCUUGUUGGUGGGGUGAUGGCCUACCAAGGCGACGACGGGUA
rnacentral:rRNA from 1 species